AGGAUAAUAGUUAAAUAUAAUAUUUGAUUUGCAUUCAAAAGGUAUUGAAUUAAUUCAAUUUAUCUU
rnacentral:tRNA from 1 species